GGCGACGGCGGUGGGGCCAGGGGGAGGAGAAAGGAGAAUGGGACGGCGCGCGCUCCCUCCCCGGCGCUCCCGAGCAGGCGGCCGCGACUAUUUCUGGGCUCGGGCGCUUAUGCAACUCGGAGCCGUUGUAUAACUCAUCCUCCCCGGCGGAGGGCAGCACCGCCCUACUGAGCCCGCCCAGUCUCCAGCCUGGUGAGCAGGGCGCGCACGCCCUCCGCCAGCCGCAGCGCACGUGCGCGGCCGGAGAGGGGCUUGCUGGGGGGCGAGCGCAGGUAGCCGACGGCUCCCUUCUGGCCGCGCUGCCUCUUUCUCCGCCGUGGGGCGAAGGCUCAGGGCGAUCUUUCGCCGAGUUGGUUACUGAGAAAUCAUGCCACUAUACCGAUGUGAUGUAGUUUUUGGAGCACCCAGAGGUGGCCUGCAACCAGGAGCUGACCAUUUCUGAUUACCAGAGUCACUGAAGGAAGAUAAGCGUGGAAGGCCAUUCUUUUCAUGGUCAUGCACAAUGUUUUCGGGGAUCUCCUCUAUGGAAGGAAAAGCUCCUGAGGAAAUAAGUAAGAAAGCAGAGAGAAGUCAGGCCUUGGUAUCUUCAUGGAAAUGUCCAUCAAGCAGUUUGCUGCUACCUACUGCCGGGAUGUUUUUCUACUUCCCAGUCCAGUCUACAGUCCUGAUAUUGCUGUAAGUUUCCCAUCUUCCUACAACCCAGGCCUGAGCCCCCAAAUUGCUUUUUAAAAAAUGGAAAGCUCAGUGCAUUCUUUUCAUCGUGACAACAAUUCUCCAAUGUUGUAACAAUCUAGAGGUUCUAGACAGACUCCUGGUAUCUGUAUAUUGGUGUAAUCUCUUCCAGCUCUCAGCACUGCCAGAUCAUAACAUUCUAGGUGUGGAAGGUAUUUAUCCUAAACUCUGACCAAUUACUAAAGCUGGAACUAGAACAGCUGGACCCAAAAGUAUAAUGGGUCAGUUAUACUAGUUUUUUUAGAUACGGGCAGAAAGCCAGAUCCCUAACACUGACAUAUGAUUAGCCAGUUCUCUGAUUUCAUACUACCCAUAAACUACAGUUAUGUAUAACUCUUCCUUAGAGUUUUAUGUCUGAAGAAUACAUAAGCCAGAGUACAAACAUACAAGUAGUUCAGUAAUCAAGUUUCCUGUCCUUAGGCCAAAAUCCAAUAUUGUGGAAGUGGAAGUCUGCUUGCACACUAGGACUUUCUUCUCCUUUACUUCUAACUAUAGCUUUCUGUCAUCCUCCCAUCUGCUCCAAAGGGACUCCAACCCUUAGGAAACGUUCUGAGGGAGCAGGAAUUACACAUUCAGUUCCACUACCAGAAACAAUUCCAUCAACAGAAGGCCUUAACAUAUUUUAAUUAUAGCCCUCAAAGCCCACUAUUUCUAAGCAAUAUUGUCUCUCACAUAAUAGCCACAUGGAAUUGAGCUGAUUUAAUAAUGUAAUAAAGUUGAGCCUAUCUCUGUCUACUUUGUUUUGUAUUAACUUCAAAGGUGUAACUAAAAUAAAUUAAAAUUUUAUUAUUGUGUUUUACAGUGGUUGCUGUUAGAGUUUUUCUUGUUAUUAUUUAAAACUAUUUUAUUCUUGAUUAUAAUUCAUCCUGAUCAGGGGAGCAAAGAUUAUCUUAAUUUUAGAAAUAAUUCAAAAUGGAAUUCAAAGAUAAUAUGAUAACCUAAAGAAUUAUCCGUUCCUUCAAAGUAGGACAGGCUGCCAGAUACCCUUUGUUAUAUAUAUCUGAGGUAGAUGUGCUGCUAACACUCAUGUGAUUUAAAAUAAAUCUCAGCUUGAACAGACAAAAAUUCCAGGCCUAAGUGUUGCACUUCUAGAGAAAAACAUGCAUUCCUCAGGCUAGCAAAAAGUCUUGAAGUAACUGCAACUCCCAAUUCAGUUUAUUUAAAAAAAUCCAGCCGAGAAAAUUUAGAAAUAAUCACUUAUAGUUUAAAUUAAAGCAAAGGCUUUACUAAAACUUACUAAACUUAGCUACCUAAACUCAUCAGGAAUCUUAAUUUUUAAAUUAGGCUUACAGAUCAAAUUCUUUUGAAGAUAGAGUAGAUUUAUCCAACAAUGUUUUCUAUGGAAAUGUGAGUAGCUUCCACCAAAGAACCUGUGUAUUUUCCCUAAAGAAGGAGUCAGGUUCAAGUAAUAGCUCAAUUUCAUAAUUCUCAAAAUUGGAUAUACGCUAUAAAUUUAAAGUAACUAUUGUUCUGUAUUCAUUCCAGCAGUGGAAACCAUCAUUUUCCAGUAUAAUUUAGAAUGGGGGAACAUGGUACAAAAAUUUUUGCAAUCAUCCUUUUCUUCUUCCUUUCCUCCCUUAUCUCCAACCUGCAUUUUGAUCAAAUUUUAUGCCAUGAAGAACCCUGAGCAUGUUGAGAGCUCUGUUUUCCUGUGAUACUUUAGUUGUCUAAUUAUAGAAGGUUAACAGAAAGCAGAGUAUAACUUCUCCUUGAUUAAUUCCAGCACACAAUCAUUUCCAUGAUAGAACCAAGACAGGAAGCCUAUUAUAUAUGCAAAAUUCUUUUUGGUGGGCAAUGACACAUAUAAGUGGAACAGCUACAACUGGAAGGCUAGGAUAUUUGAAGUAGCUUCCAACUAGACAAAAUAUAAAAUGCCAAAAUAAAAUUUUAUUCUACAGAAUCAUUAUUUUUAUAUUUUGCUGGUAGAAAUUUUUGAAAUCUUUGUCUAAGCAAACACACAUUUGAGACUUUAAAAGUUAA